UGAGGAAUAUUGGUCAAUGGGCGAGAGCCUGAACCAGCCAAGUCGCGUGAAGGAAGACUGCCUUAUGGGUUGUAAACUUCUUUUAUACAGGAAUAAAAAGGCUUACGUGUAGGCCAUUGCAAGUACUGUAUGAAUAAGCAUCGGCUAACUCCGUGCCAGCAGCCGCGGUAAUACGGAGGAUGCGAGCGUUAUCCGGAUUUAUUGGGUUUAAAGGGUGCGCAGGCGGGCUUUUAAGUCAGCGGUGAAAUCUGGACGCUUAACGUCCAAACUGCCGUUGAAACUGGGAGUCUUGAGUAUGGAUGAAGUAGGCGGAAUUCGUUGUGUAGCGGUGACAUGCAUAGAUAUAACGAGGAACUCCGAUUGCGUAGGCAGCUUACUAAGCCAUAACUGACGCUCAUGCACGAAAGCGUGGGGAUCAAACAGGAUUAGAUACCAUGGUAGUCCACGCCGUAAAACGAUGAUUACUAGUUGUAUGCGAUAUGAUAGUAUGUGACUAAGCGAAAAGCGAUAAGUAAUCCACCUGGGGAGUACGCCGGCAACGGU
rnacentral:rRNA from 1 species